rnacentral:rRNA from 1 species
GAUGAACGCUGGCGGCGUGCCUAAUACAUGCAAGUCGAGCGAACGGACGAGAAGCUUGCUUCUCUGAUGUUAGCGGCGGACGGGUGAGUAACACGUGGAUAACCUACCUAUAAGACUGGGAUAACUUCGGGAAACCGGAGCUAAUACCGGAUAAUAUUUUGAACCGCAUGGUUCAAAAGUGAAAGACGGUCUUGCUGUCACUUAUAGAUGGAUCCGCGCUGCAUUAGCUAGUUGGUAAGGUAACGGCUUACCAAGGCAACGAUGCAUAGCCGACCUGAGAGGGUGAUCGGCCACACUGGCACUGAGACACGGUCCAGACUCCUACGGGAGGCAGCAGUAGGGAAUCUUCAGCAAUGGGCGAAAGCCUGACGGAGCAACGCCGCGUGAGUGAUGAAGGUCUUCGGCUCGUAAAACUCUGUUAUUAGGGAAGAACAUAUGUGUAAGUAACUGUGCACAUCUUGACGGUACCUAAUCAGAAAGCCACGGCUAACUACGUG